rnacentral:rRNA from 1 species
CACGUAGGGCGCAAGCGUUGUCCGGAAUUAUUGGGCGUAAAGAGCUCGUAGGCGGUCCGUCACGUCCGCUGUGAAAACCCAGGGCUCAACCCUGGGCUUGCAGUGGAUACGGGCAGACUAGAGGUAGGUAGGGGAGAAUGGAAUUCCCGGUGUAGCGGUGAAAUGCGCAGAUAUCGGGAGGAACACCCGUGGCGAAGGCGGCUCUCUGGGACGGUACUGACGCUGAGACGCGAAAGCGUGGGGAGCGAACAGG